rnacentral:rRNA from 1 species
AUACGGAGGGUGCAAGCGUUAAUCGGAAUCACUGGGCGUAAAGCGCUCGUAGGCGGUUUGGUCAGUCAGAUGUGAAAGCCCUCGGCUUAACCGGGGAACUGCAUUUGAUACUGCCAGACUUGAGUGUCGGAGAGGGUGGCGGAAUUCCGGGUGUAGGAGUGAAAUCCGUAGAUAUCCGGAGGAACACCAGUGGCGAAGGCGGCCACCUGGACGACAACUGACGCUGAGGAGCGAAAGCGUGGGGAGC